rnacentral:tRNA from 1 species
GCAGAAGUGGCGGAAUUGGCAGACGCGCACGGUUCAGGUCCGUGUGGUGGUAACACCCUGAGGGUUCGACUCCCUUCUUCUGCA